UACAGAGGGGGCAAGCGUUGUUCGGAAUUACUGGGCGUAAAGGGCGCGUAGGCGGCCGCCUAAGUCAGACGUGAAAUCCCUCGGCUCAACCGGGGAACUGCGUCUGAUACUGGGUGGCUUGAAUCCGGGAGAGGAAUGCGGAAUUCCAGGUGUAGCGGUGAAAUGCGUAGAUAUCUGGAGGAACACCGGUGGCGAAGGCGGCAUUCUGGACCGGCAUUGACGCUGAGGCGCGAAAGCCAGGGGAGCAAACGGG
rnacentral:rRNA from 1 species